GGAGGCACGUAUCGGAUUACUGGGCGUAAGCGUGCGCAGGCGGUUGUGCAAGACAGAUGUGAAAUCCCCGGGCUCAACCUGGGAAUUGCAUUUGUGACUGCACGGCUAGAGUGUGUCAGAGGGGGGUAGAAUUCCACGUGUAGCAGUGAAAUGCGUAGAGAUGUGGAGGAAUACCGAUGGCGAAGGCAGCCCCCUGGGAUAACACUGACGCUCAUGCACGAAAGCGUGGGGAGCAAACAGGAUUAGAUACCCUGGUAGUCCACGCCCUAAACGAUGUCAACUAGUUGUCGGGUCUUAAUUGACUUGGUAACGCAGCUAACGCGUGAAGUUGACCGCCUGGGGAGUACGGUCGCAAGAUUAAAACUCAAAGGAAUUGACGGGGACCCGCACAAGCGGUGGAUGAUGUGGAUUAAUUCGAUGCAACGCGAAAAACCUUACCUACCCUUGACAUGGCAGGAAUCCCGGAGAGAUUCGGGAGUGCUCGAAAGAGAACCUGCACACAGGUGCUGCAUGGCUGUCGUCAGCUCGUGUCGUGAGAUGUUGGGUUAAGUCCCGCAACGAGCGCAACCCUUGUCAUUAGUUGCUACGAAAGGGCACUCUAAUGAGACUGCCGGUGACAAACCGGAGGAAGGUGGGGAUGACGUCAAGUCCUCAUGGCCUUUAUGGGUAGGGCUUCACACGUCAUACAAUGGUACAUACAGAGGGCCGCCAACCCGCGAGGGGGAGCUAAUCCCAGAAAGUGUAUCGUAGUCCGGAUUGGAGUCUGCAACUCGACUCCAUGAAGUUGGAAUCGCUAGCAAUCGCGGAUCAGCAUGUCGCGGUGAAUACGUUCCCGGGUCUUGUACACACCGCCCGUCACACCAUGGGAGCGGGUUUUACCAGAAGUAGGUAGCUUAACCCGCAAGGAGGGCGCUUACCACGGUAGGAUUCGUGACUGGGGUG
rnacentral:rRNA from 1 species